rfam:Deltaproteobacteria bacterium CSP1-8 XT12_C0023, whole genome shotgun sequence.
UUACCGGUGAAAGUCCGGUCGUGGUAAUCGCCAGAGAGCCACGUAGCAGGCUCCCGCUGCUCUCGGGUGACCGGGGGUGGCGAAGCGGAGUAUCCCUCUGAGGAGGAGGUGCAAACCGUCAGUCCGCACCAUAA